GAUACUCUGAUGAAUAUAACUAUUUUCUGACAUCUCUUAUGAACCGUUGUGAUUCAAUAAUUAACUACUGAAGUC